AAAUUGAAGAGUUUGAUCAUGGCUCAGAUUGAACGCUGGCGGCAGGCCUAACACAUGCAAGUCGAACGGUAACAGGAAGCAGCUUGCUGCUUUGCUGACGAGUGGCGGACGGGUGAGUAAUGUCUGGGAAACUGCCUGAUGGAGGGGGAUAACUACUGGAAACGGUAGCUAAUACCGCAUAAUGUCGCAAGACCAAAGAGGGGGACCUUCGGGCCUCUUGCCAUCGGAUGUGCCCAGAUGGGAUUAGCUAGUAGGUGGGGUAACGGCUCACCUAGGCG
rnacentral:rRNA from 1 species